rnacentral:lncRNA from 1 species
GGGGGGGUAUACUGUUUUAUCUCUGUCUGUCCGUCCGUCCGUCCAUCAGUCCGUCAGUCCGUCAGUCCGUCCAUCAGUCCGUCAGUCAGUUGUCCCAUGAAACUUUCGUCACAUUUUUCUCAGGAACUACACAUCCACCCUUUCUGUAAUUUGGUAUCAACAUUUAUAUAUGUCAGCCAUACCGUGUGAUGCGUUUUCAGAUUCAUCACUUGACAACUUCCUGUUUACCGAACACUUGUAUGAUUUUACACAUGAUAGCCAAGUUGAAAAUUUUCGUCACAUUUUUCUCAGGGAACUACAAUACAAGGAUUUCUGAAAUUUGGUUUCAGGAUUUAUAUAAGUCAGCUAUACAGUGUGAUGCGUUUUCAGAUCCAUCACUCGACAACUUCCUGUUUACCGAACACUUGUAUGAUUUUACACAUGAUAGCCAAGUUGAAAAUUUUCGUCACAUUUUUCUCAGGAACUACAAUACAAGGAUUUCUGAAAUUUGGUUUCAGGAUUUAUAUAAGUCAGCUAUACCGUGUGAUGCGUUUUCAGAUUCAUCCCUCGACAACUUCCUGUUUACCGAACACUUGUAUGAUUUUACACAUGAUAGCCAAGUUGAAAAUUUUCGUCACAUUUUUCUCAGGAACUACAAUACAAGGAUUUCUGAAAUUUGGUUCAGGAUUUAUAUAAGUCAGCUAUACCGUGUGAUGAGUUUUCAGAUUCAUCACUUGACAACUUCCUGUUUACCGAACACUUGUAUGAUUUUACACAUGAUAGCCAAGUUGAAAAUUUUCGUCACAUUUUUCUCAGGAACUACAAUACAAGGAUUUCUGAAAUUUGGUUUCAGGAUUUAUAUAAGUCAGCUAUACCGUGUGAUGCGUUUUCAGAUUCAUCACUCGACAACUUCCUGUUUACGGAACACUUGCAUAUUUUUACACUAUUAAUAUUAUCCACUUGCGGCGGGGGUAUCAUCAGUGAGCAGUAGCUCGCAGUUUCACUUGUUUUUUGCUUUUU